rnacentral:rRNA from 1 species
GACGAACGCUGGCGGCGUGCUUAACACGUGCAAGUCGAACGGAAAGGCCCUGCUUUUGUGGGGUGCUCGAGUGGCGAACGGGUGAGUAACACGUGAGUAACCUGCCCUUGACUUUGGGAUAACUUCAGGAAACUGGGGCUAAUACCGGAUAGGAGCUCCUGCUGCAUGGUGGGGGUUGGAAAGUUUCGGCGGUUGGGGAUGGACUCGCGGCUUAUCAGCUUGUUGGUGGGGUAGUGGCUUACCAAGGCUUUGACGGGUAGCCGGCCUGAGAGGGUGACCGGCCACAUUGGGACUGAGAUACGGACCAGACUCCUACGGGAGGCAGCAGUGGGGAAUAUUGCACAAUGGGCGGAAGCCUGAUGCAGCAACGCCGCGUGCGGGAUGACGGCCUUCGGGUUGUAAACCGCUUUCGCCUGUGACGAAGCGUGAGUGACGGUAAUGGGUAAAGAAGCACCGGCUAACUACGUG